AUGGCGGAUGUAAGUCAUGAGUCAAUGAUGGAGUACUAUCAUAUUGCCAACAAGAUGUUUAAUAGUGAGGAUGAAGGUUAUACAUUCUAUAACAAAUAUGGUCUUGAGAAAGGUUUUAGUGUCCGGAGAAGCUAUGUUGAGUGGGAUGGAUCCAACUGCAAUAUAAUUUUAAGGAAAUUUGUGUGUAGUCGUGAAGGGGUUCGUGAAGAGAAGCACAUGAAGAGGAAGAUGGAAGAUAGAAAGAGGAGACCACGGAGUAUAACUCAUGUAGGGUGUAAAGCUAAAUUGGUGAUUGCAAGACAGGAGGAAACAGGUCAGUGGUUUGUCAAGGAUUUCAUCGAUGAACACAACCAUCUUCUAGCCCCACGGGAUCUGUCGUGUCUUUUGCGUUCACACAGAAGAAUUAGCGAUGAGCAGAAAGCGGACAUUGCAGACAUGGAAAAAUCUGGGAUCAGAAAACACCAUAUUAUGGAUAUUAUGUGCAUGCAAUACGGUGGAUAUGAUGAGGUUGGAUGCAUUAUGAGGGACAUUUACAAUUUCUACCAUGCUAACAAGCAGGAAACAAUUUCUUCUGGGAAUGCUCAAACGGUGAUCAAUCACAUGGUGGCGAGGCAAGAGAAAAAUUCAGAUUUUUUCUUCAGGUACUUGGUUGAUGAAGCUGGCCAUCUGAAGGGACUGUUCUGGUGUGAUAGUCAAUCCCGACUUGACUACGAGGCUUUCAGAGACGUUAUUGUUUUUGAUAGCACAUACAGAACCAAUAAGUACAAUCUGCCAUUUGUGCCGUUUGUCGGGUUGAAUCACCACCACAACACCGUUAUUUUUGCAUGUGGUAUCAUUUCACAUGAAACAAGCCAGGCAUACGAGUGGAUAUUACGGACCUUUUCUGAUGCUAUGGGAUAG
rnacentral:rRNA from 1 species